rnacentral:rRNA from 1 species
UACGAAGGGUGCAAGCGUUAAUCGGUAUUACUGGGCGUAAAGCGCGCGUAGGUGGUUCAGUAAGUUGGAAGUGAAAUCCCCGGGCUCAACCUGGGAACUGCUUUCAAAACUGCUGAGCUAGAGUACGGUAGAGGGUGGUGGAAUUUCCUGUGUAGCGGUGAAAUGCGUAGAUAUAGGAAGGAACACCAGUGGCGAAGGCGACCACCUGGACUGAUACUGACACUGAGGUGCGAAAGCGUGGGGAGCAAACAGG